rnacentral:rRNA from 1 species
CGAAAUGGAUGCACCCGCGGAGGGUGAAUUCACGUGGGUACCUUGCCUGUAAGAUUGGGAUAACUCCGGGAAACCGGAGCUAAUACCGGAUAGUUCCUUGAACCGCAUGGUUCAAGGAUGAAAGACGGUUUCGGCUGUCACUUACAGAUGGACCCGCGGCGCAUUAGCUAGUUGGUGAGGUAACGGCUCACCAAGGCGACGAUGCGUAGCCGACCUGAGAGGGUGAUCGGCCACACUGGGACUGAGACACGGCCCAGACUCCUACGGGAGGCAGCAGUAGGGAAUCUUCCGCAAUGGACGAAAGUCUGACGGAGCAACGCCGCGUGAGUGAUGAAGGUUUUCGGAUCGUAAAGCUCUGUUGUUAGGGAAGAACAAGUGCAAGAGUAACUGCUUGCACCUUGACGGUACCUAACCAGAAAGCCACGGCUAACUACGUGCCAGCAGCCGCGGUAAUACGUAGGUGGCAAGCGUUGUCCGGAAUUAUUGGGCGUAAAGGGCUCGCAGGCGGUUUCUUAAGUCUGAUGUGAAAGCCCCCGGCUCAACCGGGGAGGGUCUGG